rnacentral:snRNA from 1 species
GUGCUCGCUUCAGCAGCAUGUAUACUAAAAUUGGAACGAUAUAGAGAAGAUUAGCAUGGCCCCUGCACAAGGAUGACAUGCAAAUUCGUGAAGCGUUCCAUAUUUUU